CUGGUCUCAAGGUUGCAUGCUAUCCGUAGCUUCCUUCACUUACCGAUGGCUCCCAUUUCUCCUGGACUGUGACCUUCCUGUUGGAUUUGCUUGAAUGGACUUCUGAGUUUUAUGUGGAUUUACCUGUAAGAAGGAGUGAGACUGUUUUUUCCUGAGACUGUUUAUGUUGAUACUUACCCAUCUGAGUUGGCAAUCUAUUUGUGGAAAGAAAGAAGCUCAUAUAACCUGUACCUGUCCAUCUCAUUCCUGUUGUGACAGAAGACCAGACCAAACUUAAGACAGCACGCGAGGACAAUGGGCCUUCAUCAACAUAACUCUUUGGAGUAAUGACCGCAACCAGUCUACCAUCACCCGGUUCCUCUGUCAGAAAGGCCGGGAUCUGAAAUUGUAUGUCCAGGACUUCCUCAACUGCUGUAGCUGGGCAUCCGGUGAUGACCUUACUUUAAUGGGGGGAUUUUGGUAAGGACUGGAUGAUAAUAUCCGGUUCGUUGUGACUAUGGCUGAUCCAAGCUGGGAGUUGGAUUCUUACAUCAAUUUCACUCUUUGGAUAGUUGGAUCAGCAUUCACCGUAGGCAAAGUGGCUGAUGAUCACCAGUCAUCACCAGUCAUGGCCACCAAUCCCGAGUCUGCAUGCAACACGGACGCUGACCUUCAGUCAUUACCUGUCAUAGCCACCCAGCUUUUGUUAUCACCCAUUAUGGCUGCUGAUUGUCAGUGAACACUGAUCAUGGCAACUGAUGGCCAGACAUCACACAAGGUGGCCGUCGUACUAGUACUCACUCCAGUCCCAGGCAUGACUCCAAAUCUCUGUCCAGUCCCCGUGUCAGUUCCAGAACUUAGUCUAGUCCCUAAGUCUGAUCCAGUGCCCACACAAUCUCCAUUUGUGAGAGCCUCCCCCGGGUAAGGCCGAGUCUACAAUGCAUUUCUUGAGGACCCAACUUCGGAGAUCCCAAGUCUGGUUGUCCUGGAGGACCCGAUUCUGGUGGUCCCAAGUCCUGUGCUCCAGGGGGACCCAACUUCUGAGAUCCCAAGUCCAGUGGUCCUGGAGGACCUGACCCCUGUGGUCUUUAGUUUGGUGGUCUCAGAGGUUCCUAGACAACCUGCUCUAUAACAGCAGGCCACAGAAGCCACUACAGAGCUGCCCAAUCUCACAACUGCUGCCAUAGUCAAGAAAGCUGUUUUCACCUUUAACCUCAUGGCUGUUCUGAGUGCAUGGGCCAUUUCAAGGUCUGCUCCUACAUCCACUUAAGUAUCCUCUGCAGUCUGGGAGCUAUCUAAGUCCACUGAAGUGUCAGCUCCAGCCCCAGAGUCCGCUCCAGUGUCGGCUCCAGCUCCCGAGUCUGCUCAUUACAUUAAGUUCAAUCUAGAAUCCAUUACAGUCUGAACUAAUUCAGAGUCUUUUCCAAUUCUAGAGUUCAGUCACAAGUCUGCUCCGGCCCCAAAAUUCAGUACAGAGUUUGUUCUGGCCCCUGAGUCUGCAUCAGAGCCUACUCUAACCCUUAAAUUUUCAUCAGAGCCCACUUGCACCAGUGAAUUAAAACUAAGUUUACAUUCAGUCCAAAGGCCCCUACAAGAAUCCCAUUCAGACCAUGCACCCAUCUUAGAGCACAACUCCAGAUCUGUUCAAGCCCCUGACCAGAGUCGAGAGAAACCUUGCAUUCCAGAAUCUAGCCCAGAGAGGGCUCCUGUUCCAGAGUCCAGCCCAGAGAGAGGGCUCCUGUUCUUGAGUUUAGGCCAGAGAGGGCUCCUGUUCCCGAGUGUAGCCCAGAGAAGGCUGCUGUUCCCAAAUUAGGCCCAGAGGGCUUCUGUUCCCAAGUUUGGAUCAGAGAGAGCUUCUGAUCUCGAGUUUGGCCCAGAGAAGGUAUUUGUUCCGGACCAGAGUCCAGUGCAGGCUCCAGCCCCUGACCAAAGUCCAUUGCAGGCUCCAGCCCUUAACUAGAGCUCAGUACAGGCUUUAUUCUCUGAACACUCUCCAGUGCUGACUUCAGGAUCUGAACAAGGAGGCGAUCCAGUAGUCAUCCCAGAGCUCAACCAGAAUCCCGCUCUCAUCCCAGAGCUCAGCUAGGUUCCUGAUCUUGCUCUAGAGUUAAGCCAGGAAUCCGCUCUAAUUAAUGAGUUCUUCCCAGAGCUGACUACAGUUCAUGAGUCCACACUAAAGCUUAC
ensembl:lncRNA